rnacentral:rRNA from 1 species
AAGAAGCACCGGCUAACUCCGUGCCAGCAGCCGCGGUAAUACGGAGGGUGCAAGCGUUAAUCGGAAUUACUGGGCGUAAAGCGCGCGUAGGUGGCUUGAUAAGCCGGUUGUGAAAGCCCCGGGCUCAACCUGGGAACGGCAUCCGGAACUGUCAAGCUAGAGUGCAGGAGAGGAAGGUAGAAUUCCCGGUGUAGCGGUGAAAUGCGUAGAGAUCGGGAGGAAUACCAGUGGCGAAGGCGGCCUUCUGGACUGACACUGACACUGAGGUGCGAAAGCGUGGGUAGCAAACAGGAUUAGAUACCCUGGUAGUCCACGCCGUAAACGAUGUCGACCAGCC